GAUGAAGAACGUAGCGAAAUGCGAUAAGUAAUGCGAAUUGCAGAAUUUCCGUGAGUCAUCGAAUCUUUGAACGCACAUUGCGCCCACUGGUAUUCCGGUGGGCAUGCCUGUUCGAGCGUCAUUACAACCCUCAGGCCCCCGGGCCUGGCGUUGGGGAUCGGCGGAGCCCCCCGUGGGCACACGCCGUCCCCCAAAUGCAGUGGCGGUCCCGCCGCAGCUUCCAUCGCGUAGUAGCUAACACCUCGCGACUGGAGAGCGGCGCGGCCACGCCGUAAAACACCCAACUCUUCUGAAGUUGACCUCGAAUCAGGUAGGAAUACCCGCUGAACUUAAGCAUAUCAAUAAGCGGAGGA
rnacentral:misc_RNA from 1 species